rnacentral:rRNA from 1 species
CCUACGGGAGGCAGCAGUGAGGAAUAUUGGUCAAUGGCCGGAAGGCUGAACCAGCCAAGCCGCGUGAAGGACGAAGGUGCCAAGCAUUGUAAACUUCUUUUGUCAAGGGACAAAAUCAGACUCGAGAGCCUGACCGAGUGUACUUGAAGAAAAAGCAUCGGCUAACUCCGUGCCAGCAGCCGCGGUAAUACGGAGGAUGCGAGCGUUAUCCGGAUUUAUGGGGUUUAAAGGGUGCGUAGGUGGACUGUUAAGUCAGCGGUAAAAGCCCGGGGCUAAACCCCGACGAGCCGUUGAAACUGGCUGUCUUGAGAUGUCGAGAGGUAUGCGGAAUGCGCAGUGUAGCGGUGAAAUGCGUAGAUAUUGCGAAGAAUUCCGAUUGCGAAGGCAGCAUACCGGCGGCGAUCUGACGCUGAGGUACGAAAGCGUGGGGAUCGAACAGGAUUAGAUACCCGGGUAGUC